CAAAAUAGAAGACAAGUUAACCUAAAUUCCCAAUCUUCGCUUACAACCUCGCUCUCAAUCUCUCAGUCUCACUUGUCACUCACCGUCGCCAUAGCCGACGCCACCUCUCCGAUAGUCCACGGUGCUCUCAAUCUCUCAGUCUUCUCUCACAGCCUUGCUCUCAACAAAUAAUUAGAAAUAUUUAGUGCAUCUCUCUCACUCUCAAUCUGUCACGCACUUGCCGGCGCCGCCUCUCCAGUAGUGCAUGGUGAAAGCCCAAAGGUCGCCACCACCGGUUUUUCUAAUUAAUUGUUGGUUUUGUACAAAAGGUACCGUAAGGCUCUUCAAUUGUUUGAGAUUUUGGCAUGCGAGGAUGAUAAUGAUAUUAACUGUAGUACUUAUGAUUCUUUGGUUAGUGCUUGCAUUGGUUUGAAAUCAAUUAGAGGUGUCAAAAGGGUGUUUAAUUGUAUGCUAAAUUCUGGGUUUGAGCCGGAUUUGUAUAUAAGAAACAGGGUGCUGUUGAUGCACGUGAAAUGCGGGAUGAUGAUCGAUGCACAUAGGUUGUUUGACACUAUGCCUGAAAGAAACUUGGUUUCUUGGAAUAUCAUAAUUUGGGGGGCUUGUGGAUAUUGGAGAUUAUGCAGAGGCAUUUAGUAGGGAUUACAAGGUGAAACCUAGAGCAAUGCACUGUACUUGUAUGAUUGAAUUAUUAGGCCGAGAAGGGCUUCUGGAUGAAGCUUUUGCAUUGAUAAGAGAUGCUCCAUUCAGGCCUACUAUAAACAUGUGGGCUGCUUUACUUACAGCUUGUAGGAUUCACAAGAAUUUUGUGCUUGGGAAAUUUGCUGUUAAGAAAUUUUAUGGGAUGGGACCAGAAAAGCUGUCUAAUUAUGUUGUACUUUUGAAUAAUUAUACGAAUGCUGAAGUCGUGAAAACCUUGGAGAGAAAACGGCAGUUAGUUAGUGUUUACCUCGUGUAUAUCAUAUUCACUUGAUGAUAGUAAUAAAUACACAAUCAAAAUUCACUUUGCUAAAUAUGCAGUAGUAACAUAAAAAAUGAAUCAGUUUUGUCUCUCCAUGCUGAUUGUAAGUUUUUUGAGACACCAAAAGCUCAUUAUGUCACACAACUUUAAUAUCGACAUUAGCGAAUGCUUGCAUAUUCAACAUUGAAUUUUCUACCAACUUUUAAGCUGACAUAAUAUCGUAAAUAUUUUACAGUUUCAUAAGGUUAGAUUUAACCAUUGUCUUACUGGUGCAUGUUUUAGCUCUUUUGUAAUUGAAAAUUGAAUGUUUAGCAUAUAGCCUUAAGUUUGCAGUUUUUCUGUAUUAUCUCAGUCUUCGCCGAAAUUGUCUGUCAAUUCAGCUCGCAAUUACAUUGGAUCAAAGCACUAUGCUGCUAGGACUAUCUACUAUCUAGUGCUAGCGAAGUUGAAAAAAAUGUGUUUUUGAGAAUUCAGGUGCUGACCCAAGAAAUAGUUACGCGCAGGCAAGUAUUGCCACUUCUUUAUGCUGGGCUGGCUUUUGGAUAUCUCCAUCCUGUAUGCCUCCUGUUGGUGCAAAUUUAAACACCUUGAUGAUCAUCUUGUGGACAUUAGCUUUAAGGCUAGGACCGAUAUUUAAGGCACAACUCAUGUCGAAGAUUGCUGAGAAGAAAAUUAAGGAGGCCGAUAGGAUGAUUUCACACGCUACUUAGUUAGUGAUUUUUUUUUUUUUUUUUUGGGAAAAUGUAUUGGAUUUUUAGGUGUUUUAGAAUUUUGGAUCUGAAUUUUGUACGAAUAUUGUUACAUUUUAGAAUUCAAUGAAUAAUGAUUAUUGGAGUUA